AGCACGGCCAACUAAGACGCAGACGAAAAAGAAGAAGGAAGCAGUACCGAAAGAGGUUUCGCACGCAGCCUAUGUAGCAGGGGCGGGAUGGGAUGUCAGCUGCAGCGAUGGUACGGGCAAACCGUACAAGGACGGAUUGGGCUGUGUUCGCGGAUACCAUGGUCUCUCAACCAGCAAGCAUGAUGUGAAGGGCCAUCGUUGCACAGUUGGAGUAUGCCGGAGCGGAAGAUGCGUAACUGAAGCUGACGCAUUCUGUUCUGUAUCCUAAAAUACCUUGCCGUACGGCUGAUAAUAAAAUAUUUCUUCAAAACCUA